UACGAAGGGGGCUAGCGUUGUUCGGAAUUACUGGGCGUAAAGCGCACGUAGGCGGAUUUGUAAGUAAGAGGUGAAAGCCCGGAGCUCAACUCCGGAACUGCCUUUUAGACUGCAUCGCUUGAAUCCAGGAGAGGUGAGUGGAAUUCCGAGUGUAGAGGUGAAAUUCGUAGAUAUUCGGAAGAACACCAGUGGCGAAGGCGGCUCACUGGACUGGUAUUGACGCUGAGGUGCGAAAGCGUGGGGAGCAAACAGGG
rnacentral:rRNA from 1 species